GUCUUGAAUUGCACAAAUGUUGAACGUUUGUGUGAGGAAGUUAAAUGGGAAGUCUGGUGGAAAGCCAGCACUGCCCCCGCAACGGUAACCUGGCUUUUUUUAUCGAUGUGGC
rnacentral:misc_RNA from 1 species